ensembl:lncRNA
CUCCUUCCGCCGCCGCCGCUGCCCGAACCGGGGGCGCCCGCGGGAGAAGGAGGCGAAGUAGUCCCUGGCGAUUUCUGCAGGCCGCCGGCUUCCCGGAGGGCCAGAGCGGGUGUGGAAACUGGAAACCAAAGAAAGGAAACGCUGUGGCGAGAGGGCUUUCCUGGUGGCUCAGAUGGUAAAGAAUCUGCCCUCAAUGCAGGAGACCUGGGUUUGAUCCCUGGCUCGGGAUGAUACCCUGGAGAAGGAAAUGGCAACCCAUUCCAGUAUUCUUG